rnacentral:tRNA from 1 species
GUCUGGGUGGCUCAAUGGUUGAGCCCAGGGUGUGAUCCUGGAGUCCUGGGAUCGAGUCCCACUUCAGGCU